GACGAACGCUGGCGGCGUGCUUAACACAUGCAAGUCGAACGGAAAGGCCCUGCUUUUGUGGGGUGCUCUAGUGGCGAACGGGUGAGUAACACGUGAGUAACCUGCCCUUGACUUUGGGAUAACUUCAUGAAACUGGGUCUAAUACUGGAUAUGAGCUCCUGCUGCAUGGUGGGGGUUGGUAAGUUUCGGCGGUUGGGGAUGGACUCGCGGCUUAUCAGCUUGUUGGUGGGGUAGUGGCUUACCAAGGUUUUGACGGGUAGCCGGCCUGAGAGGAUGACCGGCCACAUUAGGACAGAGAUACGGCCCAGACUACUACAGGAGGCAGCAAUGGGGAGUGUUGCAAAAUGGGACGAAGCCUGAUGCAGCAACGCCGCGUGCGGGAUGACGGCAUUCGGGUUGUAAACCAAUUUCGCCUGUGACGAAGAGUGAGUGACGGUAAUGGGUAAAGAAGCAACGGCUAACUACGUG
rnacentral:rRNA from 1 species